AAUCCAUGAUAUGGGCAUCUCUGUAUUAGCAUUUUAAAAUGCUCCCAAGCUUUGUGAAAGCUCUCUCCUUUUAACUGCUUGAACAUUGUGAUCUCUCUCCUUAGUUG
rfam:Gossypium raimondii chromosome 7, whole genome shotgun sequence.